rnacentral:lncRNA from 1 species
AAUUGUUCAACCACCGCCAUUCAUCACUUAGGACCACAGUUGAACGGGCAUUUGGGACUCUUAAGAGUCGCUUCAAGAUUCUUACUCAAAGGCCCUUCAUACCUAUAAAAUCUCAGAUUAAAGUGGUAGUUGCUUGUUGUGCUUUGCACAAUUGGAUAUUAGAAAAUGGUCCAGAUGAUUAUGUUGUGGAUGAGGCGACAUGGUAUGCCAACCUCCCUAGGAGUAGUGGGCGGGUUCGUGAUCAAGAGGCUGACAUACGUGAGUGGGCUGCCAAGCGAGAUUUAAUCGCUCAGCAAAUGUGGACAGAUAGAGAGAGUGCACGUGACAAUGAGGCUGAUGCUAUCCCAGCUUAGUAUCUUUGAUGUAUUUCCAUGUGAUGGAACAUUUGAAGGAUGUACUAUACCUUUGAUGUAUUUCCAUGUGAGGGAACAUUUGAAGGAUGUACUGUACCUUUGAUGUAUUUCCAUGUGAGGGAACAUUUGAAGGAUGUACUGUACCUUCGAUGUAUUUCCAUG